UCCGAGUUGACCCCGGCAGUCUUCGAUGAGUCCCCGCCAUAACGCGCUGGCAACAUCGAACGAGGGUUGCGCUCGUUGCGGGACUUAACCCAACAUCUCACGACACGAGCUGACGACAGCCAUGCACCACCUGUCACCGACCCCGAAGGACCCCGCAUCUCUGCGAGAUUUCCGGCGAUGUCAAACCCAGGUAAGGUGGGGAUGACGUAUGCGUAACAGAA
rnacentral:misc_RNA from 1 species